UACAGAGGUGGCGAGCGUUGUUCGGAUUUACUGGGCGUAAAGGGUGCGUAGGUGGCUUGGUAUGUCGGAUGUGAAAGCCCACCGCCUAACGGUGGAACGGCAUUCGAAACUGCUGAGCUUGAGUGCAGGAGAGGAGAGCGGAAUUCUUGGUGUAGCGGUGAAAUGCGUUGAUAUCAAGAAGAACACCGGUGGCGAAGGCGGCUCUCUGGAAUGUAACUGACACUGAGGCACGAAAGCUGGGGGAGCAAACAGG
rnacentral:rRNA from 1 species